AGAAGACCCAACUUUCCUGUGACAGGCAUAGCCAAUCUAGACAUGUCCCUUUUCAGAGAACAACACUUCAAUGUGAUUUAUUUGGAACGCUUAGGCCUAAUGUACAAUGGAAGGAUGGCAUCACAAGGUGUACAAACACCCAUGAGUUGCAUUAGGAACAGUGGGAAUGUCUGCAUCACUUCAAGUGUACUGUCUGUACACUGUAUUACAGAAAGUGGUUUUAUUCACCAAUGUAUCUUUGUGGUGGAGAUUAAUAUCCUAGUGGGUAACCUCACUGAUCCUUCACAGACUAGACUUGAACAGCUCAAGAAUAACUUGUGAUGGUUGGAUUUAUGCUUACGUUGCCUGAUCCACACUGGGAAAGUAGGGCCAUAAUGGAAGGCUCAAGAGGGAAAAAUUCAGGAGAAAGCAGGGAAGGAGUUCAAAUUUCUUUUCACCAGUUCUCGAGGUAUGAUGAUUUUUCCCACCUACAGGUCUGUGCCAUGUUUUUAAGCACUGAGGGUUCAUGCAGGUGCGGGCUUUUCAAUGAGCUGAUAAAAUAGGAACAGAUGGCACAGGCCUAACAACAUUCUGGAACCAAGCCAUUUCAGAGCAGUGAGGGUGAGUCAUUUGAAGCCACCAUGAUUCAUGGUAAAACUAAUGGUGGGAGUGUCUGCUGGAUCAGCCAGCCCUGACUGCUCCAAUUAACUGUGCUCGUAAUUGAUGUUACAAGUUUCAAGUCUGUUGUGACACAUGGCAACUAAAGUUCUUAGCAUUGUUGGCUUUUCCAUUUUAAGCAACAGACCAAGGAUUGCCUUAAAAUAGUUAUGACUGAUUAACAGAAUGAGAAGGUGACUGAGAACCUAAUACUUAAGUAGUCUGGCAGAGGCAGGGAAUUAAAGUGUCAAGGGCUGUUGCAUGCCAAACUUGCAGUUACUUAGUAUGCUUAGACACCAUAAACUGACUAUAAUAGGGACACUGUGCUGAAUGCCCCUUUGGAUAUUCCCAGCCAACUGCUAGGCAGAUUCUUGUCUGGCUGUUUUAUUUUUGGUCUCUAAGAGUAUCC
rnacentral:lncRNA from 1 species